GCCGGGCGUGGUGGCGGGUGCCUGUAAUCCCAGCUACUUGGGAGGCUGAGGCAGGAGAAUCGCUUGAGCCCAGGAGGCAGAGGUUGCAGUGGGCCGAGAUCACGCCAUUGCACUCUGGCCUGGGCAACAGAGCAAGAUUCUGUCUCAA
rnacentral:SRP_RNA from 1 species